GAAAUGCGAUAAGUAAUGUGAAUUGCAGAAUUCAGUGAAUCAUCGAAUCUUUGAACGCACAUUGCGCCUGUUAGUAUUCUAGUAGGCAUGCCUGUUCGAGCGUCAUUUCAACCCUCAAGCCCUGGUUGCUUGGUGUUGGGAGCUUGCUGUGAAACGCAACUCCUCAAAGCUAGCUGGCAGAGUCGGGAUGCACUCUAAGCGUAGUAAACUUGAUAGUCUCGCUUCUGCAGUUGUCCCGGCCGUCUUGCCAUAAAAGCCCAAACUUUUUUGUUUUCUAUGGUUGACCUCGGAUCAGGUAGGAAUACCCACUGAACUUAAGC
rnacentral:misc_RNA from 1 species